rnacentral:rRNA from 1 species
UACGUAGGGGGCAAGCGUUGGUCCGGAUUUAUUGGGCGUUAAAGAGCGUGUAGGCGGCCAGGUAGGUCCGUUGUGAAAACUCGAGGCUCAACCUCGAGACGUCGGCGGAAACCCUCUGGCUAGAGUCCGGAAGAGGAGAGUGGAAUUCCUGGUGUAGCGGUGAAAUGCGCAGAUAUCAGGAAGAACACCCGUGGCGAAGGCGGCUCUCUGGGACGGUACUGACGCUGAGACGCGAAAGCGUGGGGAGCAAACAGG